rnacentral:tRNA from 1 species
GGGCGAUUAGCUCAGUUGGUUAGAGCGCCUCUCUUACAAAGAGGAGGUCGUAGGUUCGAGCCCUAUAUCGCCCA